UGAAGGUAUCCAAUCUUGGUCGGCGAA
rnacentral:piRNA from 1 species